AUUGAACGCUGGCGGCAUGCCUUACACAUGCAAGUCGAACGGCAGCACGGGAGCAAUCCUGGUGGCGAGUGGCGAACGGGUGAGUAAAGUAUCGGAACGUGCCCAGUCGUGGGGGAUAACGUAGCGAAAGUUACGCUAAUACCGCAUACGAUCUAUGGAUGAAAGCGGGGGAUCGCAAGACCUCGCGCGAUUGGAGCGGCCGAUAUCAGAUUAGGUAGUUGGGGGGGUAAAGGCUCACCAAGCCGACGAGCUGUAGCUGGUCUGAGAGGACGACCAGCCACACUGGGACGGAGCCACGGCCCGGACGCCUACGGGAGGCAGCAGUGGGGAAUUUUGGACAAUGGGCGCAAGCCUGAUCCAGCCAUGCCGCGUGCAGGAUGAAGGCCUUCGGGUUGUAAACUGCUUUUGUACGGAACGAAAAGGUUUGGCUUAAUACGUUGAACUCAUGACGGUACCGUAAGAAUAAGCACCGGCUAACUACGUGCCAGCCGCCGCGGUAA
rnacentral:rRNA from 1 species